rnacentral:rRNA from 1 species
UAGAGAAUAUUGCACAAUGGGCGAAAGCCUGAUGCAGCGACGCCGCGUGAGCGAAGAAGUUCUUCGGAACGUAAAGCUCUGUCCUUGGGGACGAAAAAAAUGACGGUACCCAAGGAGGAAGCCCCGGCUAACUACGUGCCAGCAGCCGCGGUAAUACGUAGGGGGCGAGCGUUGUCCGGAUUUACUGGGCGUAAAGCGCACGCAGGCGGCGUGACGCGUCAGAAGUGAAUCCCCGGGCUCAACCUGGGAACUGCUUUUGAAACGGUCAUGCUUGAAUCAUGGAGAGGGUAGCGGAAUUCCGAGUGUAGAGGUGAAAUUCGUAGAUAUUCGGAAGAACACCGGUGGCGAAGGCGGCUACCUGGCCAUGUAUUGACGCUCAGGUGCGAAAGCGUGGGGAGCAAACA